rnacentral:rRNA from 1 species
UACGUAGGGUGCAAGCGUUGUCCGGAAUUAUUGGGCGUAAAGAGCUCGUAGGCGGUUUGUUGCGUUCGGCUGUGAAAUCCCGAGGCUCAACCUCGGGUCUGCAGUCGAUACGAGCAAACUAGAGUGUUACAGGGGAGACUGGAAUUCCUGGUGUAGCGGUGAAAUGCGCAGAUAAUCAGGAGGAACACCGGUGGCGAAGGCGGGUCUCUGGGCAAAGCAACGUGACGCUGGAGGAGCGAAAGCGUGGGGAGCGAACAG